GACGAACGCUGGCGGCGUGCUUAACACAUGCAAGUCGAGCGGUAAGGCCCUUUCGGGGUACGACGAGCGGCGAACGGGUGAGUAACACGUGGGUGACCUGCCCUCCAGCUCUGGGAGUAAGCCUGGGAAACCGGGGUACUAAUACUGGAUAUGACUCCAUGACGCAUGUUGUGGGGUGGAAAGCCUUGUGCGGCUGAGGAUGGGCCCGCGGCCUAUCAGCUUGUUGGUGGGGUGAUGGCCUACCAAGGCGACGACGGGUAGCCGGCCUGAGAGGGCGACCGGCCACACUGGGACUGAGACACGGCCCAGACUCCUACGGGA
rnacentral:rRNA from 1 species